rnacentral:lncRNA from 10 species
CGGCGUGGGUGAAGCCGCAGCUGUUGGAGCGUCUCCUGCAUCUGUCCCUGGCCUAAACCCGACGCUAGGCUGGAGGGAGCGACUGCGGGCCGGGCUGGCGGGGACUGGGGCCUCGUUGUGGUUCGUGGCGGGGCUGGGGCUGCUUUACGCCCUGAGGAUCCCUUUGAGGCUGUGUGAGAAUUUGGCAGCGGUGACUGUAUUUUUAAAUUCAUUGACACCCAAAUUCUAUGUGGCACUUACAGGGACCUCUUCAUUGAUAUCAGGACUAAUAUUUAUAUUUGAAUGGUGGUACUUCCAUAAGCAUGGCACAUCUUUUAUUGAGCAAGUAUCUGUAAGCCAUUUGCAACCACUGAUGGGAGGAACAGAGAGCAGCAUUUCAGAACCAGGUUCUCCUUCGAGGAACAGAGAAAAUGAAACCAGCAGACAGAAUUUGUCAGGUGACUACUUUUCUAAUGUGUUUUCAGAGCUGUGUAUUUAAGAUUGAGUUUGGCUCUGGGAGAUAGAAAACUCAAAACAGCAGAGUGCUGUGGUGUGCAUGUUUGUGUUUCCCCCAAAAUUCUAAUCACCAAUGUGAUGUUACGAGGUAGGGUCUUUGGGAGGUGAUCAGGUCAUGAGGGCAGUGCCCUCAGGGAUGUGAUGAAUGCCCUUAUGAGAGACCCCAGAGAGCUGCUUGCCACUUCUACCGUGGGAGGACACCACGAGAAGGCGCCGUCUGUGAACCAGAAAGCAGACCCUCACCAGACACCAAAUUUGUUGGUACCUUGGUCAUAGACUUCCCAGCCUCCAGAACUGUUAAAAAUAA